UUCUAAUUAUGCCAUCUUAACUGAAGAUCUGAGACCAGAGCCGAACAGAAAUUGUUAACAGAGUUGGGGAACUCGUACAGACUUGCAUCCAGUUUUCAACUGUCAAGUUCCAGCUCAUUCCAGAGGUGACAGACUAAUAAUUUUAAGCAAAUCAGAAAGGACUAGAUUUUUCUUUAGUGAUUUUUAGGAUCUCAGUCUUUUGGGAACCAGUCUGGUACAUAAUUAAAAAACCUAAUUUCUAUAGAUAUACCAGAGGGGUAUAUCUAUGGUGCUUCUACAGCACUCUUGGAUGUGUCACUUUUGAACGUGCCUCAGUCAUCUGCUCCUGAGGCAGCUCUCCAGCAGGGUGGUAGGAUCUCUCUUCAGGCAGCUUCACUGGCUCAUUUCUGCAUUUGAUGCCUGUGGAGUGGAAGCAAGUGAGUGGGUUGUGCUCAAGAGCUGCACUCCUGGGACGACUGGAAGUGGUAUACGCCUAUUUUUUGUUAAGGUUUAUACUAAAGAAAGAUGCAUCUAAACUUUAGGAAACACUUAAUAAAAAAGCAAGCAUCAAAAGUAAAAGGGACUAGCAGUUGACCAGCAGCAUAAACAGGCGGUGAUUACAAACCCUUGAUGCCUGAUAACUUCUCUACAGAACUACAUCACAGUGAUAAGGAAGAGAAAGGAGGGGAUCUUGUCUCUUUCUUAUAAACUUCAACUAUCAUUUAAGUCCUGCUAAUAAUGAAAGAGGGAAGUUCUCGUUUCUCCUUUAGAAGACAUUUACCCAGACAAGACAGUAAGAAGCUUUUCAGUUCAGUUUAGUUAGUAAAACACUUGAUUGGGAAUCAGGGAGCCUGGACUUCAUCCCCAGCUCUGCUACCGACCCAUCGUGUGACCCCAGCAAGUCCCCUACCUAUUUACCUCUUUACUCUUUGUCAGUCUUGCUUAUUCAGACUGUACAUAUUUUUUGUGCAGGGUCCAUUCCUUAGCACAUACUUGCAUAAAGUCUAGUGCCCCAAUCUCAGGUGUGACCUUCUGAUUGAAAUCAUUGCUACCACUACGACUACUUGCCCUCUAUUGCCAAUGCACUGUGAGGGCACAAAAUUGCCCUCUGAAAUGUCUUAUAGACUGACAAAUUGGAAUGACAAGUCUAGACUGUGAAUGAGGAGUUUUGGCACAAACUGGAAUAAAUUGUGAUCCCUAGAUUUGGAUUGUGCACGUGGAUUUCAUAGUUUGCCACACAAUAUGUUUCUGAGUCUAAAAACUGAUGAUGCUACUGUGCUCCCCUAUCUCUCCCCACUUCUAUUGCUCUUUGUAGUCAGGAAUCUUAAAAAUAUGAAUAGGAUAGACGCUGCUACACCGUAGUCUGCCUCUGCAGGUAAAGAGCAUAAGCAACAGCUGAGAGAUGUGACACACUCCAUUCAUCUUCAUUUCAACUCUGAAACCUGGAGAAGACAAUUUAAAAGUCAGCAUUAACUCUUUCGCUGCUGACCAUUUUAGCAGAAAGCAGCCAAUUCAUGUGGCUAUCCUACAAAAAGAAGACUGUAAUACAAAAUCAAGAUUAUAAAGAAAUCAAAAGGAAUUAUGGCAUUGGGAAAAAUCCCAGCUCUGAGAAAAUUAGUCUUGUAACAGAACGUUUCCCUUGGUUCCCAUCAAAAUGGAAGGAGUACUUGUUAUAAUACUAACAGAGUCCCAGUACAACAGCUGGGGCAACAACAGAGGCAAUUAAAGAAGAGUACUGAGAGAAUUGAACUGACCUAACCAAGGGCAUAACAUGAGUCAUCAGCACUGUUGUUUCCCUAACCUAAUUGUACUCACACUUCUAUGAAUUCAUCCGCAUCUCACAAUGGUACAGCUAUGGUGCACUGUGAAUAAAGUAGUACUAAGGAGAGAAGCCCAUUCUGCUAAUGUGGCGACAACUUCCAUUGCAUUAAAAAUGUUACACACUUUCAGUAAGCAUGCAGAUGUGUUAUAUGAAACAGGAACUACAAGUUUUUUGAAAACGUCCACUAUCCUCUUAUAAACCUAUGAAUUCUGCAAUGAAUUCUCUGGGUCUAUUGCAACAAACUCUCAAAACUAUUGAGAAACUAAAAUUAGUGUAGACAACGUCAGUCUCUCUACCAAGUAGCUUAUGUCACAGAGCACAGGAUAUCACUAAACUUGUAUUGGCAUCAACUUUCAAUCUGGUGGUCUUCAGGGCAUUAAAGAGCCAUAUUUCUGAUCUGGGAUUUGUGACCACGGACAACAAACAGGGACUGCCAACAGGGGAGCAGUUUGCAGGCAGCUGCUGGAGGCAAGAGGCGGGAGGAAAGAGGAGGAGAGAAGCCAGGCCAGGAAGCAGAUCCUGUCCGGGAAAGGACCAGACACAUAGCGCAGAGACAUCACGGGAGAGUCCCAGGACACCUGAAUGGAGGACGGUCACCUCCAGAGCUAGACAGCAUGCGGCUGUAACUGCUUCUCCAACGCAACUGGGGAACAGAUACAAAGCCCUGGCAGCACUGGAGGAUGAUGCAGCAGAGGAAGCCACAGGGGAAGACACAUUCGCAACACACACCAGGCAGGCUGAGUGACAACCGAGCAGCUGGAGCAAGACAUGCCGGCGGUCGCUGUCAGCAUCAGGACGCUUGGAUCAAGGAAGUCAACCUGCAGCUCCGGAGCUUGUGCAAUCAUGUGGGUUUUGGCUUCUACAAACACGAUCUGCACUUCCAUGAGAGAGGCAUCCUGGGAUGAAAUGUUCUUCAUCUCUCUUCUAAAGGUCUGUUUGCAGCUGUUCCCUGCCCUCCGGCGUGUCCACUUCUCCCCACAGUUUUGUGUCAUCUGCAAACUUGGACAGAGUACAUUUCACUCCCUCGUCCAAGUCGCUGAUGAAGACAUUGAAGAGUAUCGGUCCUAGGACCGAGCCCUGCGGGACUCCACUGCCCACACCCUUCCAGGUCGAUACCGACCCAUCCACUACGACUCUCUGGGUGCGACCCUCUAGCCAAUUCACCACCCACCGGACCAUGCAGUCAUCCAAGUCGCAGUCUCUUAACUUGUUCACCAGUAUGGUGUGGGAUACCGUAUCGAAGGCCUUCCUGAAGUCUAAGUAAACGACAUCAACCCCUA